rnacentral:sRNA from 1 species
CUUUUACUGUGUAUUAUGGCUGCCAUCUGAAGGCAUUGUUUUUGCUACUGACAGCCCCUUGACAAGGCUAUGGCAGCUGGAGAAGACCUGAAGGGUCCGUAAAUCCCCAUCUAUGAUGUGUGCUCUCACCCUCAUCGGUCACAUCCACACUCACUCGCUCGUCAGCCACCCUCACCCUAAGAUUUUUCGACCCCGGCGCCAUAGUGAAAGUUCCCCUUAAACGGAAUCCAAAAAGGACCCAGAUGAAAGUAGCAAUUCCAACCAUUUGCAAUUUUUACCCUCGUUGCGGACCGCUCGCUUAGUUCUUUGCCUUGAUGUUCUUUUUUAUGUCC